GCGCAAUGGGCGGAAGCCUGACGCAGCGACGCCGCGUGGGGGAUGACGGCCUUCGGGUUGUAAACCUCUUUCGCCAGGGACGAAGCUUUUGUGACGGUACCUGGAGAAGAAGCACCGGCCAACUACGUGCCAGCAGCCGCAGUAACACGUAGGGUGCGAGCGUUGUCCGGAAUUAUUGGGCGUAAAGAGCUCGUAGGCGGUGUGUCGCGUCGGCCGUGAAAACUUGGGGCUUAACUCUGAGCGUGCGGUCGAUACGGGCAUCACUUGAGUUCGGCAGGGGAGACUGGAAUUCCUGGUGUAGCGGUGAAAUGCGCAGAUAUCAGGAGGAACACCGGUGGCGAAGGCGGGUCUCUGGGCCGAUACUGACGCUGAGGAGCGAAAGCGUGGGGAGCGAACAGGAUUAGAUACCCUGGUAGUCCACGCCGUAAACGUUGGGCGCUAGGUGUGGGGACUGUUUCCACGGUUUUCGUGCCGUAGCUAACGCAUUAAGCGCCCCGCCUGGGGAGUACGGCCGCAAGGCU
rnacentral:rRNA from 1 species